rnacentral:rRNA from 1 species
CCUACGGGUGGCAGCAGUGAGGAAUAUUGGUCAAUGGACGAGAGUCUGAACCAGCCAAGUAGCGUGAAGGAUGACUGCCCUAUGGGUUGUAAACUUCUUUUAUAAAGGAAUAAAACGAGGCACGUGUGCCUUUUUGCAUGUACUUUAUGAAUAAGGAUCGGCUAACUCCGUGCCAGCAGCCGCGGUAAUACGGAGGGUCCGAGCGUUAUCCGGAUUUAUUGGGUUUAAAGGGAGCGUAGAUGGGUUGUUAAGUCAGUUGUGAAAUUUUGCGGCUCAACCGUAAAAUUGCAAUUGAUACUGGCAGUCUUGAGUCCAGUGGAGGUAGGCGGAAUUCGUGGUGUAGCGGUGAAAUGCUUAGAUAUCACGAAGAACCCCGAUUGCGAAGGCAGCUUACUAAACUGUGACUGACAUUGAUGCUCGAAAGUGUGGGUAUCAAACAGGAUUAGAUACCCCAGUAGUC